UACAGAGGGUGCAAGCGUUAAUCGGAAUUACUGGGCGUAAAGCGUGCGUAGACGGUUACAUAAGUCGGGUGUGAAAGCCCCGGGCUCAACCUGGGAAUUGCAUUCGAGACUGCGUAGCUAGGGUGCGGAAGAGGGAAGCGGAAUUUCCGGUGUAGCGGUGAAAUGCGCAGAUAUCAGGAGGAACACCAAUGGCGAAGGCAGCACUCUGGGACGUGACUGACGCUGAGACGCGAAAGCGUGGGGAGCAAACAGG
rnacentral:rRNA from 1 species